UACGGAGGUGGCAAGCGUUACUCGGAUUGAUUGGGUGUAAAGGGUAUGUAGGUGGUGAAUUAAGUCGAAUGUGAAAUCCCUUGGCUUAACCAAGGAACUGCAUUCGAAACUGAUUCGCUUGAGCGACGGAGAGGAAAGCGGAAUUCCCGGUGUAACAGUGAAAUGUGUAGAUAUCGGGAGGAACACCAGUGGCGAAGGCGGCUUUCUGGACGUUUGCUGACACUGAAAUACGAGAGCUAGGGGAG
rnacentral:rRNA from 1 species